rnacentral:rRNA from 1 species
CCUACGGGAGGCAGCAGUGGGGAAUAUUGCACAAUGGACGAAAGUCUGAUGCAGCAACGCCGCGUGGAGGAUGACACAUUUCGGUGCGUAAACUCCUUUUAUAUAGGAAGAUAAUGACGGUACUAUAUGAAUAAGCACCGGCUUACUCCGUGCCAGCAGCCGCGGGUAAU